ACUUUUAUUUUCUCUUUUCUACUUCUUUCCUCUUCUUCUCCGUUUCACCUCUUUCUCUUCUCUGUUGUUCUUCUUCUUCUCGUUUCUUCGUUCUCUUCUCCUGCCGUUUAUCUGUGAGAUCAAUUGGGAAGCUCAGUUGACGAUGUGUAGAUGUUCAAGGUGAUGGUAUUGCUGUGAAUAAUAAAAGAGGAUGAUUAUGGAUUGUUGGUGUUCGUGAUGAAUAUAGAGAAGCAGUUAUGGUUUUGAUUUUAGGAUACAAUUCUGGAAAUUGAUUGAAGGUUUAGAAGUCGGAUUGAAGGUGGGUUUGUUAUGAAUUAAGAGUUAGGGGAUUCGAAGAUGAGGCCGAUGAAUCGAAGAAUUAGGGUUUGUAGAUUUGUUUUUGGAGUUGUUUGGAAUUGAUCAGUAAGUUGAGUUAGUGAUAAUCAGAGAAUAAAAGGGUUGUUGAUGAAUUUAUGUUUCUGGAUUGUUUGGAUGAAGAAUCGAAGAAUUGGAAAUUAGGAUUCCUAAAUAGAAUUGGGAUUUAGGGUUCUUGAGUUUGGAUUGCAGAUGGGAAAGAUCAAACUGUUGUUGAAUGAAAUAAGAAGACUUCAGAGUUGGUUAAAAAGGUAAUUGUUCUUCUAUGUGAUUUUUCUUUAAGUCCUGCAAUUUCUGUUCGUUGAGUUUUGUAUGGUUGUUAAUGAAGCUAAGACUUGACAUGAAUAUAAAAUGGAGUUUUGGUUGAAGAUUAGGUUUAUGUUGAUGUUUAAGGAUUUGGUGGCUUUCCUUUGAGAAGGUUGGAGUUCUGAUAGAUGCAGGGAAGGAUUGUGGUUGUAGUUAGGGUUAAAUUACAGGGGAUAUGGAUAAAUGGUGGAGUAAGUAAACAAAGUUGCAAAUGGUGAUGCAGUUGUGACUAAUGAAAUUGUAAGUGUGAUGUUGGUUGGAUGAUGCAAUGAAGAACUAGUGGUAAUUUAAUGAGUUACAGAACUAUGGAGAUGGUGAUAUGCAGUGACAGUGGUGUUGCAGGGAGUUAUUGUGUUGAUGCAGAGAUUGAGUUGUUAGAGCCGGUAUUGAGAUGAGUUUGGUAUUGCAGUUGUGAAUGCUACAUAAAUGUGUAAUGUGAUUGCAGGUUGAUGUAAUGUUGUAUUGAGGGUGUUCAUAGCUGGUUUGGAAUUAGUAAUGGAACUUAGUUUGAUUCAAUUUGGAGGCUGUGCAGUCGAAGCUAGAAGGGAAGAAAAAGAGUAAAACUGUAUUGUCUCAGAUUGUGUUAGUGUUGGUGCUGUUUGGUUCUAGAUGGGUUCAAGUAUUAUAUGAAUGAUUAGGAUAUUAUUUUGGUGAGAAUGAGUUCUGAUGAGUGUUGAAACCUUGAACUGAGAUAUGACUGGAGCUAAGUUGAAGCAGUUCAGUUCUUAGAGGAAGUUGUGAGGAUUUUAUGGAGGUGCAGGUGAUGUUGGUUUGGUAUGUACAGGGUCUUGGAGAUAUUAAGGGAGUUGAAUUGCAGAGUCGAAUAGUUACAGUUGGGGAAAUGUUUUGGUUAUUACAGAGGUUUGUAUUAGAAUGUAGUGGAACUGAAUGAAGAGAAGUUAGAUGGUUGAUUACAUUUUAGAUAGUGUUGGCUGUCAAAAGCUUGGAACUGCAUAUUGCAGUUAGUCUGUGUUAACAACGAUCGAUUCAAAGAAUGAACCAGUGGACCGUGGAUCACGAGGUAGGCGUGGCUUGUCAUCAAAAGAGUUUCAGAGACAGAUAAGAGUUGCGCAGCGGAAGAUUCGAGGAGUUGAGUUCGUUAGUUGGUUAACAUUUGCUAUGUUUAUUAUGUUGUAUAUUCUAUUUGUAACCAAA